GAUGAAAGACGCAGCGAAAUGCGAUAAGUAGUGUGAAUUGCAGAAUUCCGUGAAUCAUCGAAUCUUUGAACGCACAUUGCGCCUUCUGGUAUUCCGGAAGGCAUGCCUGUUCGAGAGUCAUUAACAACCGUUUCGAUCCCUUUCUUUCAGAAAUUACAAAGAGGAAAAGGGUUUGGUUAUGGUGGAGGAGGGAAAGGGAGCGUUUAGCCUGUAAAAAAAGAGGCUGUGUUCCGCCUCCCCCCCAAAAUUGUACAGGCGGUCGUGUGCGCCCACGCAUCGAGGUGUUGUAAAAGCUGCCACGGCACUUUUCACCUGUGCAGUGCGAGAUUGGCCAGCCGGUUUAAAAACCCCUCCAAACAAUCAAAGGUUGACCUCGGAUCAGGUAGGGAUACCCGCUGAACUUAAGCAUAUCAAUAAGCGGAGGA
rnacentral:misc_RNA from 1 species